CACUUCACCUUCACUGUUGUAUCAAUGCUCUUUUAUUUUAAAAUGCACUUAUGUAGAUCCUUAACCUGUCUAUAGCCUUCCAUGAAACUACAGUGUGACCGUCCUUUCCCUAACCAAGAAACACAGUGCAAUUCUGCUUCCUACUAUUUGAGGCAACAAAGCCCAGAAUAACAUAGGGAAAUUAUACAUUAACUCAUAAAAAGAGAAGCAAUGGUCUCUAAUUGUUUUUAUGCCACAGAAUGUAUUUAAUCCAGAGUUGGUGUUACUUUUGAUGGGAGAUCAUUGCUCUUCAGAUGAUGAAACACUAGCCAAACACUGGGCAUUUAGCAAAUGCCAUAUUUGAGCUUGAUUUCUAGGUUUCGAAACUGGCACAGAAGGGUCAGAUAGAAUGCCUGCUGAAGCCUCUACACUGAUGUCCCCAGACAGAUGUAAGUUACUUGAUAAUGCCAAAUUGGUUGCAGAUAUUGUCACUGGCCUUCUUCGAGUCAACAGCCUUGGGAAGAUGUUGGGUUAUAAUGGAUUUCAUAUCCAUGGCUUACAAUUCUUAGAGGAGAUAUAAAAGUUUAAAUAGGAGAAGCUCUUAGGGGAGUAUAAGGUCUUGGUAAUUGUGGUGUUACCUAUAAUGGCUCUAAAUGUGGAGCCAAGGUAUUGAUUCCAGUGUGGAUUUUCAGCCCAAGUGACUAAUGCUAUACUGCAAUUUGGAGCUAACAGAGCAACCCAUUAGUUAGUGGUUCACGUCCUAUGUGAAUUAGAAAUCGUUGCUGUUUGAUGGUCACCACAAUUCAACCAUUCCCUGUAAAUUUUCCAUCUGUGAUGGGACAAAAGUUUGAAUCUAGUCUGUUUGGGGGGAGGGGGGACUCACUUGUUCAAUUAAGCAGCCAAAUUAUAGAUUGAAGGAGCCAUUGAAAUAUUGUUCUCAAAAGCUGAAGCACUUAGGCAGAUGAAAUGGCAUAUAUAGUGAACUUUGUUUCUUGCAGAAGUAUUUCUAUAUUCAAAUAGGGAAAAAGUUAGGUGUAGGAAAGCUCUUAUAGUGAGUAGGUGGCCCCAGGUUAUUUAUGGCAUUUGGAAAGUAGACUUGCACACCUCUAUUUGUGAGGUCAAAGUAUGAAUUCUAUUCAUGCAAGCGUUUGCUUCUGCAGGCUGUUCAUAAUUUCUCCAAUAAAUCUCGAGGUGCAGAAUUUGCAGUUGCUUAAUGAAGGAAGGGGAAAGAGCAAAUGAGAAUUCUCUCUGAAGUAGACAAUGCCUUCUUGCGCCAAACUGGAACAAACAGUCAGGCUCAGACUACUCAUACCAUUGUGGCGUCUUUACUUCCCUUCUGCUAUUUUCAUGACAGUAUGAAAUCAGAAUCCCUGUUUCUCCAGAGUUCAGCUGCUCCUGCUGCUUUAGGGCUUGUUUCUCCACUUCUCUGCUUGGGCUGUCUAGCGAGCUGCUGUGUGGCAUGAUGCAACCCUUCAGAAAUUUCUGUCAUGGGUCUGGAACCUGGGUGUGGGGGUGAUGGACUGGAGGGGAGUCUGUAGCAGACCCUGGAGCCAAGUGUUUGUUCAAAUUUUUUGGCAAGACUCUUUUGAGCCAACCAUCAACUUGUUUGCCAGAAUUACAGCUGUUCUAUUGCAUGAAAGCAGCUAAACUAUGUCACUCGACUUCUCCUGAAGUUGCUUUUUCACAGAUAUACCAACUGUGGAUGUGAUGGCUAAAGAAUCGGAUUAGACCACCAGGAACUAAUUCAUCCUACAGAUUACCACCUUUCCAAAUCUAGCACUUAUUGUAUUAAAGAAGCUGUGUACAUCACCACCCAGUUCAAUUCUUGUAUGGACAAAUUUUGGUCCUUUUGUAGGUCGAUACAUACUAUGGAAUCUUUGCCUUCCUGAUCUGAAGUUACAGGGUACCAGAAUGUUGGGCAAACUUUGAAUGAAGGCUUGGAUGAAGGUGCAUAGGAUGAGACGCUGCGGAAAAUCUUAACUCCCUACCCUGCCUCUUACCCUGUUGCUAGGGAGUUCAAUGCUGCCCUAGCUAAGCAAAAUCUUAGCACUUCUCAUGGGUUUAAACCCUAAAAUCCAAAAAAGGGAACAGUCCCUUGCUCAAGGUUGCACAGAGAUCAGCUCUCUUUUUUGCGCUACACUGCCUCUCUCUAGCACUUAUGGACUGAAGCGCUUCACUCUUUUUCAAAGCACUCAAACUUACCUUUUCUUAUGCUAAAUUACAUUAACUUAACUUUGUGCAAAUGAACUAGCUAGCUUAAGUAUAUACAGGACAGCAGCUCUGCAGAUGGAAGCCCAUGUCUGGAUUUAACCCAGGAAUCCUUCGUUCUUCAAUGGUUUGGGGUCACAUGGAUUCUUUCAGGUGACUCCAAAGCUUUUAAGUUCUCAAUAUGCUGUAUUUGUUACCUUCAUUUCCUUUUUCUGCAGCUUGUAUUUUGGGUGGAUCGGUAGAUUAAAAACAACAGAAACUAAAUUAUAGUUUCCUUCAUAGUGUGCCACCAAGCAUCACAAAAGAGAAUAUCAGAAAUAUGAAGGGCAUAUCUUGCUAGUUUCAUAUUAAAAUAUACUGUAUUUAGAAUAAAAAGCUGAGGGAAGAGAAGUGUACUUACUACAUGUUUUUUUACUGUGAGAUUUAUCUAACAAAAGUAUAUCCCAGCAAUUUGACAUGAGUGGAAUUGCUAUUUUUUAUUAAUGGGGAAUCUGAGCAGUUACUACAUGGUGAUGUAGAGCAAUGCCAUUCUUUUUUCUCUCCAGUUCCUGAGGAAUCAAAAGAAAUAAAUCUCUAAUUGUUGUGAUUGAUCGGAAGAGCUUUCUCUGGAAGUCUGCAGAGAAUCUGGUAUUUGAAGAAGUGUCACUAGUCCUUUUGAUGCAAUGGAAAAUGAUGAUCGAUUUCAUUUGUUCUUGUUCUUUCUCUGAAGGAUUCCAUUGCUGUGGGCCUUUGCCAGAUGUACUAAAGAAGUCACUUUUUCAGCAAUACUUUAAUGAAGCACUGUUACCUCUGCUUCGUGCCUCUGCUUUUCCCUUUGGAAAAUAUUAGCUUUGUAGGAUUUCUUCUUGAAUUGGGAAAGAGCAUAGGACCAGAGGGUUGAAAGAAAAGAUGUGAGAUGGGAUUCCUUGAUUGAUGCCAUUGACUUUACCAAGUGAUCUUUAAGGGAUGCCACUUCUUCUCUGCAGAACAGCAGGAGAUAUCUAUCUUUAUCUAUCUAUCUAUCUAUCUAUCUAUCUAUCUAUCUAUCAUAGAUAUAUAUAUAGAUAGAUAUAUAGCAUAUUGAUCAGCUUGUGAGUUAAGGAGCUAAGGCCCCCCACUAGAGAUUGGUGAAGAGGUACAGAAAAGGGAAAUGACUUUUAAAGGAAAAGAAAUAAUCAGGUACCGAUCUCUUUCCCCAUCUAGUUCAUUCCUUAAUACAAAGAACAUCUGACAUUAUUCCUCUUCUAACGUUAGUUGAAAUACAGUUGCUUUUCUUCCUGGAUCUCUAUUGUUCCUCCCCAGCCAGCACUUAGGUAUGCAAACACCACUGCUAUCAUUACCCACUCUGGCAACAAGGUCAAUUUGACAAUCAGGACAGUGUAGAUGAACCCAUUUUCUUAACAGAUUCAGAAGGACUGUGCCUACAGCCUCCUCAGUCCAACAGACCUGACGUACCUAAACCAUGAAAAUCCAAUUCACACUGGCAACAGCAUGCUUUACUAAUUUAAUGAGGCUGUGCUUUCUAGAGAGCCAAGUUACUGAUAUAUGACACACACAGGUAUAACACUGGCUGUGAUAAAGGACUAGGGGAUUGAGAAACUCAGUGUUACCUUUUGUCCAAAGGAUGGAACUUUCAUGUUUGCUUUCUAAAGUGUUUAAGUGUACAGUAUCUACUCAUGCUUAGAAAGCAAAGCGGGUCUUGAACUGGUCUUGCAGUAUACAGGAGGCAAUUCUAGCUAGUAUCCUGUUACAACUCUUGUCUUCCAGCCCCUUGCCUCUCUGCUUCUGGAAGUAUAAAAAGAAGUAGAACAUGAGUUCGAAUUCAGUUGCAGUGGCCACAUCACUGGUUUUAUGUCACGCAUAAAACAGAGUUAUGUGUUCUGUUAUUGUUUUAGAAUGAAUUGUGGUUGGAAGCUGAAAAGAGGGAAGUGUAUAGAAGUGAGAUUUCAGGUUAGCAGUGUCAUACUCUCAGACCGUUAUAUCUGGCACUAUUCUAUAAAAACAGAGUAGGAAGAUAGUUGUGCAGUUUGUUUUAAAAUCAAUAAGCAGGCUUGAGUUUUGUUUCUGGGACUGAAAUCAGAAUGUUUGAAUUGAAAAAGGAAUUUGACAAUAACAUGCAGAUGACUGUUAAUCUGUGAUAGGAAAAGCAUGAAUCAAUGUGAUAAUCCUCACUGCUGUGGCAUAUUACCUCACUCAGCUAUCUAAUAUCUAGCAGAUAUUAUUACACAAAAUAUCCAUUCAGAGAGGACCGUCGCAACAAAUGUUCCACAAAAAUGCUCUUUCCUAGAACCCAGUUUGAAAUCUGCCAAGACCAGCCAGGGUUUAUUUUGCUGUUAUGUUAUCAGAUACUUAAUUUUAAUCUUGCUUUAAGAAGUUGUUCUUAGUUGAACUGCUAUGGCACAGGGCCACAUACUUUGCACUACACAACUCUUCCCUGUUGCGAGACGCAGAGGGGGGGAAGUGUACGACAAAACUAUGUUUCAUUAAAUAUAAUUUCCUGUUGGUGGCUUUGCUCAGCUGUAGGGGGUUGAGGGAUAUAUACACAUCAUUGUGGAAAACUGAGAUGAUCAUGGUCAAAUUGGAUCCCUAGGAGUUGGGCUUCUUCCAAUGGGACAUCUCCAAAUGUCUAUUUUUGAAUGCAGUGUAGUUUUCCAAAAAACAGUUCAUUGCUGUGACUUGCUUGCAUAGUCAGUAGAGAAACAGGACACAUUUUAAAAACUUGUUAUAACAGCAGACAUUCAAAAUGAUUAGCUGAAAAUAGCUGAAGUUUAGGGUUAACACAGAAUAUGCGAUUAAUUGUAUUGGGAUGGAAUCACUGUAUUGGGAUAUGCGUACAAGUAGCUCAUUAGAUGCAUUUGUACAUCACAGAGACUAUGGUCAGAAGGGAUUGUUGAGGGAAUGGCUGAUAACUGGAGAACAUUUUUUUCAUAAUCUAUUAUUUUUUUACCAAGGCCAGUUCAUUGUGUUUUGGUUAAUGCGUUCCUCAUUAAUAUAGAGCAGACACAGGGACCCCAGGGCCCUCCACAUAUAGUUGGACUCCUGGUUCUUAUAACCCAGCAAGCACGGUUAAUGGUCAAGGAUGAUGGGAGCUGUAGUCCAUCAACACCUGGAGGGCCAAAGGUUCCCCAUUCCUGAUAAUAGAGUAUCUGAAGAGUGAUGGAGAAUCUAUUCCUAAAUCUCACAUGUGGAGAUAAAAGUCCCAGUAGAACAAAUGCCAUUAAGGAUUGUUUUGAGAGGCGUGCAACCUGAUCCCAUGAAUGCUUAUUCAGAAAUAAGCCCUGCUAUGUUCAGCAAUGCUUACCUUGGGGUAAGUGCGCUUAGGACUGCAAUGAUACAGUCCAUUUUACUGUUCUUUUCCUGUUAAACACUAAUGCAGCCUACCCAUUAAGUACGGUACACAAAAUAGAUGGGCAGGUCUCACCUGAAACGUGGAUGUUUUCUUUCUGGGAUUUGGGUGGUUUGAUUCCCCACCCUACCCAUCUACUGCCCAAUGGUGCUAAACUAGAAAGAUAAUUCCAAUUCACCUGCUACUAGUGGCUCCUUUGAUGGGAUAGUAUUUUGCUUUGGGUAAUUUGACUCACAAAAGGCAAACAGGCAUGGCUAUUUUUGGAUGUAUGCAUGUAAAUAUCAGUCCUACAAGUAUAUUAUUAUUAUUAACUUUUUUGUUGAUGUUACUGUGCAUAAAUGUCAUAGGGGUGUAUGAGUGAGUGUGAGCGCGAGUGUGAGCAUGUGAGCGCAUGUGCCUGUGGGUAUGAAAUGAAGAAAUGAGUUUGAGGAUGACAAGUGACACAGGCAAAGUAUUUUUUAAAUCACAUGACCAAAAGGCCAUUCACUGGUUAAGAUUGUUUUUGUUUGUUUGUUUUGAUCACAUGACCAAACACAGCACUUG